rnacentral:lncRNA from 1 species
CGAGUCUCUAAAUUUUCUUUCUUAUAUUACAACAUAAAAGUACGUAACAAUAACCUUAAAAUCAGGGCUUAGCUUCAAAAACUUUUCUUGGUAUCACUGUACACUCUGUAGCGAUAUUGUGACAUCCCAAGUGCUAAUUAAGGCAAAUGGGUGUCAGAUACAAAUUUAGAAUAAUGAGUGCAUGAUAAAAUUUAUGCAGUAGAACAAAAU